CUGAGAGUUGUUUAAGUAAGACAAUACCAGAACCUUUUAAAGAUUAUUUAAAGAUAUGGAUAGUUACAUGAAAACAUUAAAAUUCUACACUACAGUAUGAGAGAACACCUUCCAAGGAAAAUUUUGGCCCUUGGACUGUUCCUGCAAAGCAACCUCUAACGUCUUGGAAUGUUCUGGCUUGUAAGAGUGCCUUUUCCUGGAUUCUUGGGCCACAACAAACAGUUUAUUUUAACAACAUUAGUUUUGAUGGGGCCUUAGGCCACUGCUAUCAGCUUGCCCACUGAAGGGGCCAGAGACUGAGUUAAGUAGGGUCACAAUUUAGUAAGGCUGAGUACCAGUAGUCAUGCUUCUGUGACUGACUUGCAAUAAAAUGCUGGGCACCAAGGUUUCAGUGAUCUUCUCUGAUUGGGAAUAUUCCAUAAAUAUUGCUACACAUUGUUGCUGGUAGAUGUAACUGCUGUCUGCAUGACUCCACUGAGAGGGACAAUGACGUAGGUUUAACAUCUCUUAUCUCCUGACUCUGCCCUAUGUGAAUCAUUCCUUGGCUGAUUUUAGCUCACAUCCUUUUACUUUAAUGAACUGCAGCCCCACGUAUCAGGGCUUUUCUGAAUUUGGUGGGUCCUUCGAGAGAAUUAUUUAACUUAAAGGCAGUCUUGGAGAUCUCUUGAACUGCAUUUUUGAACAUGCAAUCUCUAAUAGCCAUUGGUCACUCUUCCUUUUAUGCAAACUCUGUUUCAAUUCUCUGCACAGAACUUUUUCCUUUGUAAACAGACUUCUCUGCAGGUUCACUGCUGUGUAUCCAGUGCCUUAGAGAAGCACCUGACACAGAGAAGGCAUUCGACUGAUGUGGCAGUGGAGAAGAAAUCCACCCAGCAUCCAGUCUGGGUACCCCAGAGAAGAAAUCUUCAUUGAGCCUUAACGAAAGAGCAGCAUCCUCCAAGAUUUGCAUUGAGGGGCAGAAGACACGUAAGGGACAAGAAGACGUGGCCAAGUAGAAAAGGAGUAGUGACUUAAGAUUUAUUGCACAACCAUUUACUGAUUACUUUCUAUGUUUGUCAACAUACAAUAAAAACAUUACCUUGUUUCUCUCCCCA
rnacentral:lncRNA from 12 species